rnacentral:rRNA from 1 species
CCUACGGGUGGCAGCAGUAGGGAAUAUUGCUCAAUGGGGGAAACCCUGAAGCAGCAAAGCCGCGUGGAGGAUGAAGGUUUUCGGAAUGUAAACUCCUUUUGGUAGAGAAGAAAAUGACGGUAUCUAACGAAUAAGCAGCGGCUAACUCCGAGCCCGAAGCCGCGGCAACACGGAGGGUGCAAGCGUUCCUCGGAAUCACUGGGCGUAAAGAGCGCGUAGGGGGGAUAGCAAGUCAGAUGUGAAAUCCUAGGGCUUAACCCUAGAACUGCAUUUGAAACUGUUAUUCUAGAGUAUGGGAGAGGUAUGUGGAAUUCUUGGUGUAGUGGUUAAAUCCGU